GACGAACGCUGGCGGCGUGCUUAACACAUGCAAGUCGAACGGAAAGGCCCUGCUUUUGUGGGGUGCUCGAGUGGCGAACGGGUGAGUAACACGUGAGUAACCUGCCCUUGACUUUGGGAUAACUUCAGGAAACUGGGGCUAAUACCGGAUAGGAGCUCCUGCUGCAUGGUGGGGGAUGGAAAGUUUCGGUGGUUGGGGAUGGACUCGCGGCUUAUCAGCUUGCUGGGGGGGUAGGGGCUUACCAAGGAUUUGGAGGGUAGCCGGCCGGGGAGGGUGAGCGGCCGGCUAGAGUGGGAGUGAGACCCGGCCCACACUCGGGAGGGAGGAGGGGGGAGGUAAGAAUGAAGGGCGGAGGCAACUCUGAGGAAGCCCGGGGGCGGGAGUGAAGAAGUCAGUUGUUAAGCCACUUUCGCUUAGCAGGGAAGAUAGUGACGGUAAAUGGCUAAGAAGCCCCGGCUAAAUACGUG
rnacentral:rRNA from 1 species